UAAUCUAAUCAUCGAAUAUUUUUUUUUUGGUAAAAAAAAACCAACUCGAAAAAAGAAGCAAAACAUACUAAAAAUCUGAAAUGCUGAUCGACGACAAACCCAAAUUCUUCUUCUAUCCAUACAGCUCGCUACUACCUAGCUACAUAGUCGGUGAUGACACAUCUUGGUAACAUACGUAGGUGAUGAUGACAAAGCAAAUGAACUCUCCUGAUGAUCUAAUAGGGCUGGUCCGGUGGUUAGAAUGGCGGGCGGCUGGUAGCCCAGUACGCUGCCUCAGCUGGCAAUUCCAUGGAAUUCAGAAGAUUGGGAUGCAACCCAUGAAAAAGAGG
rnacentral:lncRNA from 1 species